AGAGAAGCGGAAGGGAGAGAAUGGAAAUGGCCGCAUGCAGCUCCUCUCCCUCAGACAGCUCGGGGCUCAGCGGAAUGAGCACAGUCUGCAGGACAAGUGCGGAGGACUUCAGUCCCCUCUACUGUAUAUUGGCUUUAGGACUCAAGUUGUCCCUGAAAUAGAGGAAGGUGUUUUCUAGGGUAGUGGUAAUUAUCACAGUCAAAAAAGUAGGCGAGAGCACUUAGGAAAACUGUGCGGAGAUCGGCUGCUGAUGUGUAAAUACUGCUGAAGCUGCUUAUUCAAGGUAAUCUGAAUUUCCUUUUUUAAAAGUGGACUGAAACUCUGCUUUCUCAUCAGAAGACUUUUUUUUUUUUUUUUUUUUAAGAUUCUAACUCCUUUUGUCUGCUCUGUCACUUUUCUGAACUUUAAAAUCUGUCAACUUUUAGGGAGGAAACAAAACCCGAAACAUGAAA
rnacentral:lncRNA from 1 species